rfam:Pseudooctadecabacter jejudonensis strain CECT 8397 genome assembly, contig: 0001
GCAUCGGACAGCAAAAUGCCCGAUAUGCAGGCGGGCUGGGAACAGAUGUGUUCCAAUGUCAUGGCGGGUCUUAGCGGUCUUAACAUGGUGUAUGAGGCCG